GAUGAACGCUGGCGGCGUGCCUAAUACAUGCAAGUCGAACGCACAGCGAAAGGUGCUUGCACCUUUCAAGUGAGUGGCGAACGGGUGAGUAACACGUGGACAACCUGCCUCAAGGCUGGGGAUAACAUUUGGAAACAGAUGCUAAUACCGAAUAAAACUUAGUGUCGCAUGACACAAAGUUAAAAGGCGCUUCGGCGUCACCUAGAGAUGGAUCCGCGGUGCAUUAGUUAGUUGGUGGGGUAAAGGCCUACCAAGACAAUGAUGCAUAGCCGAGUUGAGAGACUGAUCGGCCACAUUGGGACUGAGACACGGCCCAAACUCCUACGGGAGGCUGCAGUAGGGAAUCUUCCACAAUGGGCGAAAGCCUGAUGGAGCAACGCCGCGUGUGUGAUGAAGGCUUUCGGGUCGUAAAGCACUGUUGUAUGGGAAGAACAGCUAGAAUAGGAAAUGAUUUUAGUUUGACGGUACCAUACCAGAAAGGGACGGCUAAAUACGUG
rnacentral:rRNA from 1 species